rnacentral:rRNA from 1 species
GACCUCGGAUCAGGCCAGGCUACCCGCUGAAUUUAAGCAUAUUAAUAAGCGGAGGAGAAGAAACUAACAAGGAUUCCCUCAGUAACGGCGAGCGAAGCGGGAAUAGCUCAAAUUUGAAAUCUCCGGUGCCUGCACCGGCGAAUUGUAGUCUGUAGGGCCAGUUUCGCCCGAGAYGGUGUCCCCAAAGUCGUCCUGGAAAGGCGGGCCGGAGAGGGUGAGAGCCCCGUGCGUGGGGGCACCGUCGAAGGUAAGAUCUGUGCCCGAAGAGUCGGGUUGUUUGAGAUUGCAGCCCAAAAUGGGUGGUAAACUCCAUCUAAAGCUAAAUACUGGCACGAGACCGAUAGCGAAC